AUGUCUUUGCCAAAAGGAGACAUGUUGAUAUUAAUUAGUAUUACUCAUGCUCAAAUUAAGUAUAUGAAAACUUUAUGCCAUUUGUUGGAGAUAAAAGCCAAAUUAUUGUUCGAAACCAGUACUCUGGCCGAUUACUCGACCUAUGCCCAACCCGAGUAUUCGGCUUGAGUAGCGUAGAGUAAAAGUAGUGAGUAACACAUCAAAAAGUAGAGAAAAAUUAGAUUUUAAAAAAUUAGUUUGUGAUCGCAGGUGUGUUCAAAAUUCUCAAAAAGAUGGAAAUAUGUAAAAAUAAUAAUUCAUGGCCACAAUACUUUUCAAUUUUUGCCAAAAUGAUAGAAAACAUAAAAACAACAUAUUACAAAUAAAGCAGUUGUUUUGAAAAUGUCUAAAUACCAAAUAUUCUUCGUUCUUUUUUGUUUCAAUAUAACUUUUCUUUUUUUCCGUAUAACAUAAAUGUAGCAUGGGUACAUCUGUGAUCUGUCACACCUUUAGGAUUGUCAUCAAAGUAUACUAAGGCUUCCCC
rnacentral:lncRNA from 1 species